AGGACAAGACCCAUAGGGUUCCACCGAUUUGAGUGUGAUGGUUAAUUUUAUGUGUCUGCUUGACCGGCACAAGUGCCCUAUAAUUGGUCAAAGGUUAUUCUGGGUUUUUCCAUGAUUUCUUUUUCCUUUGUCUGAGAUUAGCCUUUAAAUCAGUAGACUGAGUAAUGCAGAUUGCCCUCCCUGAUGUAGUCAGGCCUCUUCCAAUCAGGUGAUGGUCUGAAUAGAGCAAAAGUCUGACCCUCUGGACAUGAGUUUGAGCAAACUCCAGGGGCUGGUGAAGGACCGGGAAGCCUGGUGUGCUGCCUUUCCUGUGUCGCAAAGAGAUAAACACAAUUGAGUGACUGAACGACCCAGAAUAAGAGGGAAUUCUUCCUGCCUGAAGGCCUUCAAACCGGGAUAUUGAUCUUUUCUUUCCUUCAGAGUUCAGAUGAAACCUUGGUUCCCCUGAGUCUCACUCAUCCUGCCGACCUUGGGAUUUACAGCCUCCAUAAACACGCGGAUUCUUUACCAACUGAGCCUCCAGGGAAGAGGUGGUGACUUUGGCACAACCACGUAAAUGUGCUUAAUGCCACGGAGCUGUGCGCUUAAACCAGGUUAGGAUGGCAAAUCUCACGUGCUAUAUAUUUUACGGCAAACACUGAACCGAGCAGCUCAGCUCUAUGCAGAGAGGAACGUCAUCCAGAGCCGCGGCCGCACACCGGAGACCGGGAAGUCUCUGCCACCAGAGUCACGGCGCUGGUUGACCCGUCAAAAGCUGGCAGCCAAGAUAAGACGGCCUCCAUGACCUUGCCCGCCAGCAGACGCCGAGAGAUGGCCCGGCCUCCAGAAGCCUGAACGAGAUUCGUGACCUGCAUCCAACAGAUGCUGUCAGUGUGCUCGUAAACUCGGGAUUUGCCCAAGUCCACCUCUCUGUUGAGUCCUUGCCUGCUGGACCCGGCCCCCUGCACCAGCCUCUCCUUAAGCCUGCAGCUCAGCUGCGACCCUGGUGUCUCUCUCUCCCAUCAUCACAGGAAUGUCCCGUGGGUCCCAGGCUCUUCGGAGCCAGUCCUCGUCACCCACAAGGCUGUAUGCCCCUGUUGCUGGUGAGGAAUCAUCUCUCCAGGGGCAGAGAUGAGAAGCCAGGGAACCAGCUGCCUCACCCAGGCAUUCAGCACGCACGGGCAGCGGGCACCUCGGGGGAGCCAAGAAAACACACGCGUCCAGGUGCCCCGCCGGCUGCCUGCCCCUCCUGCUCCUCCUGUGCCGGGAGCCGGGCCAGGCUGUAGGUCCACGGGACUCAGCGCCCUGAGCGCUAUCACAAGGUCACCAGAGGGACAGCUGCCAGGAGCUCCAAGGGGCCACGCCAAGGGGCCCCGGGCACCAGGUGGCGAUCCUGGGAACCCACACACGCUCCCCGUUGGGCACCGGCCCCGCGCUCCUGGCUCCGCUGGCCCCUCGCAGGUGCUGAGACCCCAGGUACAGACCCUGAUAGCCGCAGGCGUCUGGCAGCCGACCAGGGGUGAAGCCUCCGGGUUGAAGCCUGGGGGCCCAAGGAUUCUGGCGGACAGAAGGAACGGCUUUAUCACACCUUGGUCUACUGACCCCGGUGCACCUGAAGCAUCUUCGGGAGAAAACAAGGAGCCGGGCCGCCCUAGACAGCAGCCAGGUGGUCAGGGGAGGGCGCCUGCCCACGUGAGUAGGCUCAGGUCUGCCCAAAGCCCCGCCCAGAGUUUCCAGGACGACCGGCAGGAUCCAUGCGGCCAACAGCGCCACCUGGUGGCCAGUGGGUGAGCAGCAGGCAGCCUGCUCCUGCUCACCUCCAGCCAGACAGAUGCAGGGACAGAGGGCGGUGGGGCUGAGGACCCUAGGCCUCUGGGCCCUGUGUCUAUGGAGUCGGGUAAAGAGAUGACCCCUGCCCUCACGGAGCCCCCAGGAGUAUGGAGGUGGGAGCCACAUGUCCCAGGGAUCAAGGCCUCAGGCCAGGCCUCGGGGGGGACAGGUGGCUGGGGUCUGGGGUCCCCGGAGCAGCCCAGGGGUUGGGUCAGUGAGGAAGGCAAGGCACCAGCCCACCGGGGACCCCUCCAUCCUGUCUGGUCAGCAGAGGCAGGGCCUCUGGCCAGGCUGGGCCAGGGCCAAGUGUGGACGUGAUCUGGACACGAGCGCUGGUCCUCCUGCAGCCCGGAGCACGUCCCGUCCUGCGGCUCAGUGGGGCUGCCCACAGGGCCGGGGCAGACGGGCAUGUCCCGGCCCAGCAUGACCACGGAGCCCAGUUCUGGGGCCUCAGCCUCUUGUUCCCUGGGCCACAGGCCCCAGCAGGGACCCACAAGAGGGACUCUCACAGCCAGACCCCCCGAGGGGCCUGCCUGGCUGUCACCUGAUCUCGGGUGAGGACACGGAGGUCACAUCCUGCGGCAGACUCGGGACCUCGGCCCCAGAACAGGGCUCCGCGUGUCCCCUGAGACACAGCCCGGAACACCCAGUGGCCCAUCCUCGUCCACCUGCCCAGGUACCCGCCGGGGACGCAGAGCGGGUGCAGUUGAAGCACCCGGGGCUCCCCCAAGCCCUUCCACUCUCUGCAGGAAGGGCGCCCUGCUGGGGGCCCUGGGUGCUCUCCUACGCCCGGCAUCCUCGGGAGAGCCUGGCCACAGAUGCUGGGGUGGGGUGGGGGGUGAUGGUGGCCCCCAGGACCCUGCCGCCCGGCUGUUCCCGGCAGUUUGUCUCUCGGGGUGCCCCAUCCCCAGGGCCUGUUCCACCCAAGACAGGGGCCCCCCACCCUGGCCUCACCCUGGCCCCCCGGGGGAAUUCUCAAAGUCCCCGCUGCCCAGGCCCUGACCCAGGGGUCAGCAGGCGCCCUACCCAGGGGACUUGUAAGGGUUCCCCGGGUACCAGGACUGAGAACCAC